GCUAAGCAUAUCAUUAAGCGGAGGAAAAGAAACUAACAAGGAUUCCCCUAGUAACUGCGAGUGAAGCGGGAAGAGCUCAAAUUUAAAAUCUGGCAGCUUUGCUGUCCGAGUUGUAAUCUGUAGAAGCAUUUUCUGCAUUGGACCGUGUACAAGUCUCUUGGAAUAGAGCGUCAUAGAGGGUGAGAAUCCCGUCCAUGACACGGACUACCAUUGCUUUGUGAUAUGCUCUCAAAGAGUCGAGUUGUUUGGGAAUGCAGCUCAAAAUGGGUGGUAAAUUCCAUCUAAAGCUAAAUAUAGGCAAGAGACCGAUAGUGAACAAGUACCGUGAGGGAAAGAUGAAAAGCACUUUGGAAAGAGAGUUAAACAGUACGUGAAAUUGUUGAAAGGGAAACGCUUGAAGUCAGUCACGUCUUGCAGGACUCAGCCUUGCCUACUUGGCCUGGUGUAUUUCCUGUAGGAUGGGUCAACAUCAAUCUUGGUCAGUGGAUAAAGGAUAAGGGAAUGUAGCACCUUCACAGGUGUGUUAUAGCCCUCUUUCAUAUACAUUGAUUGGGAUUGAGGACUGCAGUAUGCUGCCUUGUGGUGGCAUGCCUUUAGGAUGUUGACAAAAUGGCUUUAAGCGACCCGUCUUGAAACACGGACCAAGGAGUCUAACAUGCCUGCAAGUGUUUGGGUGGAAAGCCCUUAUGCAUAAUGAAAGUGAAAAUUGGGAACCUCUGCAAGGGGGUGCACCAAUGCCCAGCCCUGAUGUUUACUGAAGGUGCUGCGGUAGAGCAUGUAUGUUGGGACCCGAAAGAUGGUGAACUAUGCCUGAAUAGGGUGAAGCCAGAGGAAACUCUGGUGGAAGCUCGUAGCGAUUCUGACGUGCAAAUCGAUCGUCAAAUUUGGGUAUAGGGGCGAAAGACUAAUCGAACCAUCUAGUAGCUGGUUCCUGCCGAGUCUCCCCCUCAGAAUAAA
rnacentral:rRNA from 1 species